AGAGUUUGAUCCUGGCUCAGAGCGAACGCUGGCGGCAGGCUUAACACAUGCAAGUCGAGCGGGCGUAGCAAUACGUCAGCGGCAGACGGGUGAGUAACGCGUGGGAACAUACCUUUUGGUUCGGAACAACACAGGGAAACUUGUGCUAAUACCGGAUAAGCCCUUACGGGGAAAGAUUUAUCGCCGAAAGAUUGGCCCGCGUCUGAUUAGCUAGUUGGUGAGGUAAUGGCUCACCAAGGCGACGAUCAGUAGCUGGUCUGAGAGGAUGAUCAGCCACAUUGGGACUGAGACACGGCCCAAACUCCUACGGGAGGCAGCAGUGGGGAAUAUUGGACAAUGGGGGCAACCCUGAUCCAGCCAUGCCGCGUGAGUGAUGAAGGCCCUAGGGUUGUAAAGCUCUUUUGUGCGGGAAGAUAAUGACGGUACCGCAAGAAUUAGCCCCGGCUAACUUCGUGCCAGCAGCCGCGGUAAUACGAAGGGGGCUAGCGUUGCUCGGAAUCACUGGGCGUAAAGGGUGCGUAGGCGGGUCUUUAAGUCAGGGGUGAAAUCCUGGAGCUCAACUCCAGAACUGCCUUUGAUACUGAAGAUCUUGAGUUCGGGAGAGGUGAGUGGAACUGCGAGU
rnacentral:rRNA from 1 species